AACGAACGCUGGCGGCAGGCCUAACACAUGCAAGUCGAACGCUGUAGCAAUACAGAGUGGCAGACGGGUGAGUAACGCGUGGGAAUCUUCCUAUCGGUACGGAAUAGCUCAGGGAAACUUGGGGUAAUACCGCAUACGCCCUUCGGGGGAAAGAUUUAUCGCCGAUAGAUGAGCCCGCGUCUGAUUAGCUAGUUGGUGAGGUAAUGGCUCACCAAGGCGACGAUCAGUAGCUGGUCUGAGAGGAUGACCAGCCACACUGGGACUGAGACACGGCCCAGACUCCUACGGGAGGCAGCAGUGGGGAAUAUUGGACAAUGGGCGCAGGCCUGAUCCAGCCAUGCCGCGUGAGUGACGAAGGUCUUCGGAUUGUAAAGCUCUUUUGGCGGGGACGAUAAUGACGGUACCCGCAGAAUAAGCCCCGGCUAACUUCGUGCCAGCCGCCGCCGUAAGAC
rnacentral:rRNA from 1 species